AGUGAACGCUGGCGGUAGGCCUAACACAUGCAAGUCGAACGGCAGCACAGUAAGAGCUUGCUCUUACGGGUGGCGAGUGGCGGACGGGUGAGGAAUACAUCGGAAUCUACUUUUUCGUGGGGGAUAACGUAGGUAAACUUACGCUAAUACCGCAUACGACCUACGGGUGAAAGCAGGGGAUCUUCGGACCUUGCGCGAUUGAAUGAGCCGAUGUCGGAUUAGCUAGUUGGCGGGGUAAAGGCCCACCAAGGCGACGAUCCGUAGCUGGUCUGAGAGGAUGAUCAGCCACACUGGAACUGAGACACGGUCCAGACUCCUACGGGAGGCAGCAGUGGGGAAUAUUGGACAAUGGGCGCAAGCCUGAUCCAGCCAUACCGCGUGGGUGAAGAAGGCCUUCGGGUUGCAAAGCCCUUUUGUUGGGAAAGAAAAGCAGCAGGUUAAUACCCCGCUGUUCUGACGGUACCCAAAGAAUAAGCACCGGCUAACUUCGUG
rnacentral:rRNA from 1 species